rnacentral:rRNA from 1 species
GACGAACGCUGGCGGCGUACCUAAUACAUGCAAGUAGAACGCAGUUGCGAACGGGUGAGUAACGCAUAGGUAACUGCCUGGUAGCGGGGGAUAACUAUUGGAAACGAUAGCUAAUACCGCAUACUACCAGAUGGACCUGCGUUGUAUUAGCUAGUUGGUGAGGUAACGGCUCAACAAGGCAACGAUACAUAGCCGACCUGAGAGGGUGAUCGGCCACAGUGGGGCUGAAACACGGCCCAGACUCCUACGAGAGUCAGCAGUGGGGAAUUUUGGACAAUGGGCGCAAGCAUGAUCCAGCCAUGCCGCGUGUCUGAAGAAGGCCUUCGGGUUGUAAAGGACUUUUGUCAGGUAAGCGGUACCUGAAGAAUAAGCACCGGCUAACUACGUGCCAGCAGCGGCGGUAAUUC